rnacentral:rRNA from 1 species
AUUGAACGCUGGCGGCAGGCCUAACACAUGCAAGUCGAACGGUAACAGGAAGCAGCUUGCUGCUUUGCUGACGAGUGGCGGACGGGUGAGUCAUGUCUGGGAAACUGCCCGAUGGAGGGGGAUAACUACUGGAAACGGUAGCUAAUACCGCAUAACGUCGCAAGCCCAAAGAGGGGGACCUUAGGGCCUCUUGCCAUCGGGUGUGCCCAGAUGGGAUUAGCUAGUAGGUGGGGUAACGGCUCACCUAGGCGACGAUCCCUAGCUGGUCUGAGAGGAUGACCAGCCACACUGGAACUGAGACACGGUCCAGACUCCUACGGGAGGCAGCAGUGGGGAAUAUUGCACAAUGGGCGCAAGCCUGAUGCAGCCAUGCCGCGUGUAUGAAGAAGGCCUUCGGGUUGUAAAGUACUUUCAGCGGGGAGGAAGGGAGUAAAGUUAAUACCUUGGCUCAUUGACGUUACCCGCAGAAGAAGCACCGGCUAACUCCGUG